CAUUUUACAAUAAAAUAGAAAAGACUAUUAUCUAGACAUCUCAUAGAAAAAGUGUCUUUUUUUUUCUUGAUAGUUGGCCAGUGCUCAGAGAAAAACAAAGGAUGCAACAAUUUCUUUUGAGAAAGUACAUACAAAGCAACACAUGCAGGAAGUUGUCAUACUUUUUUACACUAUUUAACCAUUUUUAUUUUCUAUGUAUGAAUUGUACAUUUUAAAAACUAGGCUCUAAAUUGCAAUAAGUAGUCGUCAUGUAUUUUUUCUCUAAAAUCUUGUCUCUCUUCUUUCUCUGAUAUUCCAAAGUUCAUUCUCUUUAGUGACAAUUCCACCAUAUUUUCUUUUUUCAAUGUUCAGAAUGCUGUUUUAUUUUGUCUUUGUAGUCCUCUUUAUAGAUGCUUUAUCUUUUAUCAAUGUUCUUGUUUUCCUUAUUUCUAGUAGUCUCAUAUCAUUCAGGGUAUCUUUGAUGAAUUUAAUUGACCUUCAAAUAAAUAAUAAGAAAUAUUUAUAUCUAUUUGUCCUUUAAAUAAAAAACAUAAUACAAUUUUUUAUUUGAUGUCAACUCAGUCUCUGAUAUCGUGAUAAAUAAAUCCACAAAAAAUGAGUUAUAUCCAACUCUUUAGAGAGAGAGAAAGCGAAGAAAAAGAAAAGAGGGUGAAAGAAAAGGGAAAAAAGAGGAAAAAGAAAAGUGGAAAGAAAUAAUAGAUCAACCUACUUCGAAUGACAAUUGUUAUUAUAAUGAUAGUUUAAAGUUAAAAUAUUUCUCAACAAGUCUUUUAUUUGGUCUUCAAUCAGAAUUUUCCCACAAACUAUUACAAGAAUAAUGUACUCACAUAAAACAGCACAUCAAAUUUACUGACUUUAUUGGAAAUGCUCAAUACAGAUUGAAUAUAAAAAGCCCUUUACUUUUUAACAGCUCAUAAAACAAUACCAUCACAACCAAAUAAUAAUAAUAAUACCUAAACUAUUAUUGAUACAUAUUCCAACUUUUCUAUUAAAAAGAAAAAAGACAACAAAAAGAAACCGGAAAAUAGGACAGGCUACACGAAUUUCAAUUGAUAACUAUAUAUCAUUUUCACUUAAGUGAGAAAA